rnacentral:rRNA from 1 species
CGGGGGGAGCAAGCGUUGUUCGGAUUUACUGGGCGUAAAGGGCGCGUAGGCGGCCACCGCAAGUCGACUGUGAAAUCUCCGGGCUUAACUCGGAAAGGCCAGCCGAUACUGCGGGGCUAGAGUGCAGAAGGGGCAACUGGAAUUCUCGGUGUAGCGGUGAAAUGCGUAGAUAUCGAGAGGAACACCUGCGGCGAAGGCGGGUUGCUGGGCUGACACUGACGCUGAUGUGCGAAAGCUAGGGGAGCGACCGGGAUUAGAUACCCCGGUAGUCCUAGCCUUAAACGAUGAAUGCUUGGUGUCUGGGGUUCUAUAGUCCCCGGGUGCCGUCGCUAACGCUUUAAGCAUUCCGCCUGGGGAGUACGGUCGCAAGACUG